rnacentral:rRNA from 1 species
AUGGAGAGACUUGUUAAUGUUCAUUACAUUGACAAGGAGGCAUUCUUGAGUAACAAUGCCGACACGGGUGAGGAACCAUUGGUUUUUGAUAGAAGCCCUAGCUAUGAGGAUGUUGUUGCAAAAGUGAGACAAGUCUUGAAGUGGAUGGACACCAAUGUUGAUGUUAAGUUAAUAGGAAGGUAUGAUGUUGGAGUUGGAGCCAAAUCUCACUUGAAAAGUAUGCCUAUCACCUCGGAUUUGCAUUGGGAUGUAUACAAGGAAAAAGUAUCCCAAUCGGAAGACAAGUCACUUGAAUUGUUUGCCACCACUGAAUCUCCUCGGUUUACCUUUGAUUUGAACCGGCAUGUCUCUUCCCCAAUGGAUGACAUGAGCGUUGAGUUGUAUGCCCCCAAUGCUUCUAGCCAACCACCAACUAGCCAAGCAAAUGAAGUUGAGGUGAUUGCUAGUGACGGAGUAAUUCAAGAGGAUGAAGAUGCUUAUGAUGACGACGAAGAGCAAGAGGAAGGGUUUCAUGGCAAUGAUGUUGGUGACUUGGAUGUGUACAUAGCGCAAAAGGACAUGGAUCGUGACUUGCCUUUUAGGCGUCAAUAUGCGUAUGACUCGGAUGACGAGGGUCCAGUUGAACAGUUGGACGAGGAUGGAUUCACAAAGGAGGAGAACCAAAUCCACUUUGAGCUGACGGGCUUAAAAAAAGAACUCACUUAUUUAAAGAUCUCGGCCUUGCCCAUAAAGUUGUUGUUGACGGUGGAAUGA